rnacentral:rRNA from 1 species
GUGGCGAACGGGUGAGUAAUACACCGGAACGUGUCCUGUAGUGGGGGAUAGCCCGGCGAAAGCCGGAUUAAUACCGCAUACGCUCUACGGAGGAAAGGGGGGGAUCUUAGGACCUCCCGCUACAGGGGCGGCCGAUGGCAGAUUAGCUAGUUGGUGGGGUAAAGGCCUACCAAGGCGACGAUCUGUAGCUGGUCUGAGAGGACGACCAGCCACACUGGGACUGAGACACGGCCCAGACUCCUACGGGAGGCAGCAGUGGGGAAUUUUGGACAAUGGGGGCAACCCUGAUCCAGCAAUGCCGCGUGUGUGAAGAAGGCCUUCGGGUUGUAAAGCACUUUUGUCCGGAAAGAAAACGCCGUGGUUAAUACCCGUGGCGGCUGACGGUACCGGAAGAAUAAGCACCGGCUAACUACGUGCCAGCAGCCGCGGUAAUACGUAGGGUGCAAGCGUUAAUCGGAAUUACUGGGCGUAAAGCGUGCGCAGGCGGUCCGCUAAGACAGAUGUGAAAUCCCCGGGCUUAACCUGGGAACUGCAUUUGUGACUGGCGGGCUAGAGUAUGGC